GAAUCCCGUCUUUGACACGGACUGCCAGGGCUUUUGUGAUGCGCUCUCAAAGAGUCGAGUUGUUUGGGAAUGCAGCUCUAAAUGGGUGGUAAAUUCCAUCUAAAGCUAAAUAUAGGCGAGAGACCGAUAGCGAACAAGUACCGUGAGGGAAAGAUGAAAAGAACUUUGGAAAGAGAGUUAAACAGUACGUGAAAUUGCUGAAAGGGAAACGUUUGAAGUCAGUCGCGUCGGCUGGAGAUCAACCUUGCUCUUGCAGGGCGUACUCUCUGGUUGAUGGGUCAGCAUCAGUUUUGAUCCGUUGGAUAAAGGUCAGGGGAAUGUGGCAUCGAUUCGUUGAUGUGUUAUAGCCCUCGGUCGUAUACAGCGGUUGGGACUGAGGAACUCAGCGCGCCGCAAGGCCGGGUCUUCGGACCACGUUCGCGCUUAGGAUGCUGGCAUAAUGGCUUUAAGCGACCCGUCUUGAAACACGGACCAAGGAGUCUAACAUGCCUGCGAGUGUUUGGGUGGAAAACCCGAGCGCGCAAUGAAAGUGAAAGUUGGGAUCCCUGUCGUGGGGAGCACCGACGCCCGGACCAGACCUCCUGUGACGGCUCCGCGGUAGAGCAUGUAUGUUGGGACCCGAAAGAUGGUGAACUAUGCCUGAAUAGGGUGAAGCCAGAGGAAACUCUGGUGGAGGCUCGUAGCGAUUCUGACGUGCAAAUCGAUCGUCAAAUUUGGGUAUAGGGGCGAAAGACUAAUCGAACCAUCUAGUAGCUGGUUCCUGCC
rnacentral:rRNA from 1 species